rfam:Picea glauca, whole genome shotgun sequence.
CAUUAUGUACAUGCCUACAACAUAGCAUUAAUGCAUUGGAUCCCAUUAGAACUCCACAGUUAAGCACGUUCGGUCUAGAGUAGUAUUGGGAUGGGUGACCGCUCAGGAAGUACUAGUAUUUUAAAUGC